GUCAAAAUGAGGUUUUCCAGCGACUUCAGGGCGGAGAGCAGGAGGGAGGAGGUUUGCUCUGACAAGGGAACAAGACCUUCUGUGGGUUCCCACCCCGCUCUGUGCUGUGCCCCACGCGGUCACACCAGCAGUCUCCAUCGUCCCAUGGGCACUGCUGGGAGCCCAGGAGCUGCCCGCGGUGCCCGGGGUUCAGGGAAACACAGACAGCUGGGGACUCUGCUCACAGUCCAGCUGGAGAAGCGGGCAGAGAGAGAGGAGAGAAGAAACGACCCAAGGUUGUGCCAAGUGCCCGGAGGCGGAGGAGGCAGGGGGCGUCUUCGUGGAGAGACUGGGAAGGAUUUCUCCGACGUGUGGGGUGACUGAAGUCAGUACGAAGCCGACCUGACGUUCCCCCUGCCUGGUUUAAGGUGGUUACUCUGGAUCUUGGAAUAGGAAGCAGGCUUCCUUCUGGGAGGGGAGCCUGGCUCGGGAAGCCCCGCAGACCCAGCCCACCUGACCUCAUGUCUGACUCACUAGCCCCAGGAAGAUGAAGAGAGCAGGGUCCAGAGGAGGCGUGAUGGAGGUAACAUCUGGGCCGCAGGUGAAAGGAAGGGCGGAUUCUGUCCUCUGGUUGCAGCUUGGUCACGGCAGAAACGCUCACAUCAAAAGCGCAAAAGUGCGCUCAAACCUACAAGACUUGGCACCAAGGCGCUGAGCAGGAGAUGCCUGCGUAUAAGCAGAGCGGCAGUUAAGGGGGUUGAAGCCCCGCUGUGAGUUUGAGGGCACCCGCCCGGGCACCCGCCUCCUCCUCUUCUGCAAGAUAAGCAUGUGGUCUCGCGGUGCGGAGCUCCCCAGAGCCACGGAACAACGGGCGAGCACUCUCCAGCCACCUCUCUCUAGCUCUGCAGCUCUAUCUGUCCAUGGCUGUGAGCUGCGUGUCUGUCCAUGUGUCUGUCUAUAAAGGAGGGGAGAGACGCUUAUUUUAAGGAGUUGGCUCCCCUAAUCAGGGGAACCAGCGGGUCUUAAACCCGAGGAGCGAGCUGGCCUUCUGGGACUCGGGUGAGAGCUGGCGCUGUGGUCUUGAGUCUGGCGGCUGGUCACCCAGGCAGGGUUUCCGUGUGGCUGAGGAGAGUCCCUUCUGCUUUGAGGAACCGUGGGUUUGCUCUCAAGGCCGUCGACUGUUUGGCUGAGGCCCGUCCCAUGGAGGCUGAGCUGCUUUACUUAAAGUCAACUAUUGGCGUCCCCGUCGUGGCCCAGCGGAUACAAACGUGACAAGUAUCCAUGAGGACUCAGGUUCGAUCCCUGGCCUUGCUCAGUGGGUUAAGGAUCCAGUGUCGCCAUGAGCUGUGGUGUAGGUUGCAGAUGAGGCUCAGAUCCAGUGUUGCUGUGACUGUUGUGUAGGCCGGCAGCUGUAGCUCUGAUGAGACCCCUCGCCUGGGAACCUCUUUGUGCUGCAGGUGUGGCCCUAAAGAAAAGGAAAAAAAAAAAAAAAGUCAACUGACUGGGAACAUCAGUCACAUCUAACCAUACCUUCGAGGCACCAUCUAGGCUAGUGUUUGACCAAACGCCCAGGCACUGUCACCUUGCCAAUGGACACACACACCUGCAGCCAUCACACCUGCACACGCGACUGCAGCCAUCACACCUGCACACGCAACUGCAGCCAUCACACCUGUGCUCCCCGUGGGUACUCGAGCACUGGCUACAUGACCGCAUUGCAGCUUCUCUGGUCAUUGUUGUGGCUCGGGGCUCAGAGAACAG
rnacentral:lncRNA from 1 species